rnacentral:tRNA from 1 species
UCCGCAGUAGCUCAAUGGUAGAGCGGGUGGCUGUUAACCACUAGGUUGGGGGUUCAAGUCCCUCCUGCGGAG